rnacentral:rRNA from 1 species
AAAUUGAAGAGUUUGAUCAUGGCUCAGAUUGAACGCUGGCGGCAGGCCUAACACAUGCAAGUCGAACGGUAACAGGAAGCAGCUUGCUGCUUUGCUGACGAGUGGCGGACGGGUGAGUAAUGUCUGGGAAACUGCCUGGUGGAGGGGGAUAACUACUGGAAACGGUAGCUAAUACCGCAUAACGUCGCAAGACCAAAGAGGGGGACCUUCGG